AUUGAACGCUGGCGGCAGGCAUAACACAUGCAAGUCGAGCGAGCGGCGGACGGGAGAGAAAUGUAUGGAGAUGUGCCUGAUGGAGGGGGAUAACUACUGGAAACGGUCGCUAAUAGCGCAUAUCACAAGAUGCACACAUAUGGGAUUAGAUUGUAGGUAAGGUAAGGGCUUACCUAGGCGACGAUCCCUAGCUGGUCUGAGAGGAUGAUCAGCCACACUGGGACUGAGACACGGCCCAGACUCCUACGGGAGGCAGCAGUGGGGAAUAUUGCACAAUGGGCGCAAGCCUGAUGCAGCCAUGCCGCGUGUAUGAAGAAGGCCUUCGGGUUGUAAAGUACUUUCAGUCGGGAGGCGUUACCGACAGAAGAAGCACCGGCUAACUCCGUGCCAGCAGCCGCGGUAAUUC
rnacentral:rRNA from 1 species